rnacentral:rRNA from 1 species
UACCAGCACCCCGAGUGGUCGGGACGUUUAUUGGGCCUAAAGCAUCCGUAGCCGGUUCUACAAGUCUUCCGUUAAAUCCAACUGCUUAACAGGUGGGCUGCGGAAGAUACUAUAGAGCUAGGAGGCGGGAGAGGCAAGCGGUACUCGAUGGGUAGGGGUAAAAUCCGUUGAUCCAUUGAAGAACACCAGUGGCGAAGGCGGCUUGCCAGAACGCGAUCGACGGUGAGGGAUGAAAGCUGGGGGAGCAAACCGG